rnacentral:rRNA from 1 species
GAUGAACGCUAGCUACAGGCUUAACACAUGCAAGUCGAGGGGAAACGACAUCGAAAGCUUGCUUUUGAUGGGCGUCGACCGGCGCACGGGUGAGUAACGCGUAUCCAACCUGCCCAUCACUUGGGAAUAACCUUGCGAAAGUAAGACUAAUACCCAAUGAUAUCUCUAGAAGACAUCUGAAAGGGAUUAAAGAUUUAUCGGUGAUGGAUGGGGAUGCGUCUGAUUAGCUUGUUGGCGGGGUAACGGCCCACCAAGGCUACGAUCAGUAGGGGUUCUGAGAGGAAGGUCCCCCACAUUGGAACUGAGACACGGUCCAAACUCCUACGGGAGGCAGCAGUGAGGAAUAUUGGUCAAUGGGCGAGAGCCUGAACCAGCCAAGUAGCGUGCAGGAUGACGGCCCUAUGGGUUGUAAACUGCUUUUAUAAGGGAAUAAAGUGAGCCUCGUGAGGCUUUUUGCAUGUACCUUAUGAAUAAGGACCGGCUAAUUCCGUG